ensembl:lncRNA
CCCACUGUUCACAUGGCCCCCACCGCAAACUGUCCUCACUUCUAAGAACUGAACAUGAGCCAAAUGCCUGUUCCCAAGAGUGUGUGCAGCACAGUCAAAGGAGCCCAAGAGAAGGGGAUGGAGACCAUGAAAGAACAGACGUGCCAUCAACCUUGAAACAGAAGACAGUGGCUUCAGGCCUGAAUUCCACGUCUGGAAUAGAGACUGUGCUGUCAGGGCAAUGGUCCUUCUCACCUCAGGCCCCCUCCGAUCCUCCUCUCCCCUGGGAGCAGUAGGGAACAUCAGGCCAGGCUGUCAGAUCACCUAGUCCCACAAGCGGAAGAAGUCCCCUCGCUGUCCUCUCCAAGACCCCGCCUGCAGCCGACAUUGCUGAGGACUCUUCACCAGUUUCAAGCCUGGUUUUCCGAGAGAAGAAAAUGUUCUCCGCUGAAACAAUUAUUGGAAUACAAGAUAAGGAUGAAGGUCAUAACAAGCUUGUGGUGAAGAAGUGUAAGUGGAAGAAAGAAUGACCUGGUUCACACCCAGGGCCCAGGCUCUAUAGAGGUGAGGCCACUGCUGCCCACCUCUGUCCUCCUCUGGAUGCUCAUGCGAGGCUACCUUUUGCUCCAAACCUGCUGGAACCUAAGAUGAGACAUGAUAAAAUAAAUGGGCUGACCAAUAAAACAGGGGGAGCUGAGUUUCAGGAGAGCCUACGCUGCUGUCUUUACCAAUGGUCCCUGGAGCUCUGUUUAUAAGUAAAUUAGGAGGAUCAGCCUGAU